AGAAAGAUAAGCUAAUUAAGCUACCAGGUUCAUACCCUGUUUAUAGAAGUGAACCCUUCUUCUUUCCA
rnacentral:tRNA from 1 species